AGAAGGCUGCGGCCAGGGCUGAGGAAACAGGAGUUUUCUGAGGUCUACCAUCAGACUCGUCCAACUUAGCAGGAACUGCAGGACCCUUUUCUGGAUCUGUGACAGGAACUUGGGUUUCUAUUGCUGUGAUAUGACCAAAAGCAGCUUGGGAAGAGUUUGUCUCAUCUUGUUCUUCAACAUCACAGUCUGUCAAAGGAAGUGAAGGCAAGAACUUGGAGUGGACAGAAGAACCUUCAGAGACUUUCAUUGAAUCCGAAAGCCAAACUGGUAUGGAAGACCAGAAAAUUCAAGGAGCCUCAAUUCCAAACAAUGCCAUAUAAUAUGGGACCUAGCCUGGGUAGCCUCUGGGACAGUUCCUCCACUGUCCUUUGAAGGGUAUUUCUUUGUGUGGUUUCUAAGGAUAGCAGAAUCAGUAUCACUACUAACUAACUGACUGGAAAUUGGUAUUCUGAUAUGAUUCUAUACUCACUGGAUAGAGACCCAGUGUAGAGCUGGAAGGUAUCUCAGCUUUGAUAGGCCUGCAGCUAAUUUUUAUGAUUCUGUAAUGUCUAAAACAUGAUCUUCUUGGGCGUUCUCAAAGCCAUGUGCAAAUUUUUCACAUUGUAUUAUGCAGAUGUUCUGCUGAGACACUGGGUUAGCCUUUUUAAAAUGUAACAUUCUUAUUCUUACUAUGUAAACAUCUGGUGUAUAAAAGAUUUUGUAUAACCAAAUGAGCUGUUAAAAAUGUAUCUUAGUAGAGGAGAAAAGCAAGUUAGCAGUUAUAUAGUCUGCAUAUGCUUUAUUCAUACAAAUUUUAAAGGAAAUAUAAAAUUAGCAAUAUUUUUCUUUGAAUUCUGAAAUUGUACUAAUGUUUUUUUUUAAAAAGGUUGCUAUUAAGUUCUCUACAAUGAAGGCACAUUGCCUUUUGAAAGAAUGCAUCCCAAGUAUUAUAUAUUAGAUUUUAAAAUAAUCAAUAUAACAAUAAACUUCUUGUGAGGAA
rnacentral:lncRNA from 1 species